UCGAAAUCAUCAACUGUCACAUAACAAUACAUAGCCGCAGAUAAACGAUGAGCACAAGCAUACCUCCUUGUUCAAUUGAUCUGCUUCGUGGGAGACUUGUUGCAGCUAAAUCAUUGCUUGAAUUCGGUGUGAAGGUCCAGAGUGACAUAAAGCUAUUGAAUUUGAGGCUGUGUGAACCUAAUGAUAUUAUGACUCUUGUUCCCAUGGAUAAGUUUCAGCUUACGAUUGGGUUCAUAGAGCUGAUGUUAUAAGACGGCUGGCGUAAUGCUUGAUGGGCUGCAAGGGUGGAAAGAUGGAUGAGGUCUUUUAGAACCGCUGAUGUCGCUACUGCUCAGUGAAUUUGAACCGCUUACGUUCUGCUUGAAUCUGGAAAGAACAAUUCUAUAUCUUUCAUUUUUAAUCGGCAUAGUCUUUUAGAACCGCUGACGCCGCUACUGCUCAGUGAAUUUGAGCCGCUGAUGCUUUGCCUGAAUCUGGAAAGAAUAAUUCUACAUCUCUCAUUUUUAAUCGGCUUGUCUGGCCUCGAAGAAAUCCUAACCUCCCGGAGAUGGCGAUCCUUCGAAUUCAAUCGCUGUCGGUGUUGUUUACUCUGUAUGGUUGAGAUGAAACACGAGGUACCUCACUAUAAGAUUCGCUAAGGUUUUUUUUCACUAAUGCCAUACAAAGAUAUCACAUUGCGCCAUUUACUCUCACUCAAAGGUCUCUAGCCGAGUGUCAUAUUGGGCUUAUAGAUAUGUGAUGUAGUUGUAAGUAUAGUAAAUUGAAAUCUUCACGACCACAAACUAAUGGACUCUCUGUGAAGGCUUUAAUUGUAGUACUUAAAAUAUACUUAUUCUUUUUCUUAAUAAUUAAGUCGUAUUCCUUUUUGAGUUUUCGUAUUGUAAUUGAGAUAUUUCUUUUAUCUUUCUUAUUGUAUUACUACUUUAUUCUUUGUUAGUCA